AGUGAACGCUGGCGGUAGGCCUAACACAUGCAAGUCGAACGGCAGCACAGUAAGAGCUUGCUCUUACGGGUGGCGAGUGGCGGACGGGUGAGGAAUACAUCGGAAUCUACUUUUUCGUGGGGGAGAACGUAGGGAAACUUACGCUAAUACCGCAUACGACCUACGGGUGAAAGCAGGGGAUCUUCGGACCUUGCGCGAGUGAAUGAGCCGAUGUCGGAUUAGCUAGUUGGCGGGGUAAAGGCCCACCAAGGCGACGAUCCGUAGCUGGUCUGAGAGGAUGAUCAGCCACACUGGAACUGAGACACGGUCCAGACUCCUACGGGAGGCAGCAGUGGGGAAUAUUGGACAAUGGGCGCAAGCCUGAUCCAGCCAUACCGCGUGGGUGAAGAAGGCCUUCGGGUUGUAAAGCCCUUUUGUUGGGAAAGAAAAGCAGCAGGUUAAUACCCCGCUGUUCUGACGGUACCCAAAGAAUAAGCACCGGCUAACUUCGU
rnacentral:rRNA from 1 species